rnacentral:rRNA from 1 species
CCUACGGGAGGCAGCAGUGAGGAAUAUUGGUCAAUGGACGAGAGUCUGAACCAGCCAAGUAGCGUGAAGGAGGACUGCCCUAUGGGUUGUAAACUUCUUUUAUAAAGGAAUAAAACGAGGCACGUGUGCCUUUUUGCAUGUACUUUAUGAAUAAGGAUCGGCUAACUCCGUGCCAGCAGCCGCGGUAAUACGGAGGAUCCGAGCGUUAUCCGGAUUUAUUGGGUUUAAAGGGAGCGUAGAUGGGUUGUUAAGUCAGUUGUGAAAGUUUGCGGCUCAACCGUAAAAUUGCAAUUGAUACUGGCAUUCUUGAGUACAGUUGAGGUAAGCGGAAUUCGUGGUGUAGCGGUGAAAUGCUUAGAUAUCACGAAGAACCCCGAUUGCGAAGGCAGCUUACUAAACUGUGACUGACAUUGAUGCUCGAAAGUGUGGGUAUCAAACAGGAUUAGAUACCCGAGUAGUC